rnacentral:rRNA from 1 species
UGAUGUUAGCGGCGGACGGGUGAGUAACACGUGGGUAACCUGCCUGUAAGACUGGGAUAACUCCGGGAAACCGGGGCUAAUACCGGAUGGUUGUUUGAACCGCAUGGUUCAAACAUAAAAGGUGGCUUCGGCUACCACUUACAGAUGGACCCGCGGCGCAUUAGCUAGUUGGUGAGGUAACGGCUCACCAAGGCAACGAUGCGUAGCCGACCUGAGAGGGUGAUCGGCCACACUGGGACUGAGACACGGCCCAGACUCCUACGGGAGGCAGCAGUAGGGAAUCUUCCGCAAUGGACGAAAGUCUGACGGAGCAACGCCGCGUGAGUGAUGAAGGUUUUCGGAUCGUAAAGCUCUGUUGUUAGGGAAGAACAAGUACCGUUCGAAUAGGGCGGUACCUUGACGGUACCUAACCAGAAAGCCACGGCUAACUACGUGCCAGCAGCCGCGGUAAUACGUAGGUGGCAAGCGUUGUCCGGAAUUAUUGGGCGUAAAGGGCUCGCAGGCGGUUUCUUAAGUCUGAUGUGAAAGCCCCCGGCUCAACCGGGGAGGGUCAUUGGAAACUGGGGAACUUGAGUGCAGAAGAGGAGAGUGGAAUUCCACGUGUAGCGGUGAAAUGCGUAGAGAUGUGGAGGAACACCAGUGGCGAAGGCGACU